UACGAAGGGGGCUAGCGUUGCUCGGAAUCACUGGGCGUAAAGCGCACGUAGGCGGCUUUCUAAGUCAGGGGUGAAAUCCUGGAGCUCAACUCCAGAACUGCCUUUGAUACUGGGAAGCUCGAGUCCGGAAGAGGUGAGUGGAACUGCGAGUGUAGAGGUGAAAUUCGUAGAUAUUCGCAAGAACACCAGUGGCGAAGGCGGCUCACUGGUCCGGUACUGACGCUGAGGUGCGAAAGCGUGGGUAGCGAACAGG
rnacentral:rRNA from 1 species